rnacentral:tRNA from 1 species
GUAAACAUAGUUUAAUAAAACCCUAGAUUGUGAUUCUAGAAAUAAAGAUUGAAACUCUUUUGUUUACC